rnacentral:rRNA from 1 species
CUUUUAUACGAGAAGAAACACUCCAACGUGUUGGAGCUUGACGGUAUCGUAAGAAUAAGGAUCGGCUAACUCCGUGCCAGCAGCCGCGGUAAUACGGAGGAUCCAAGCGUUAUCCGGAAUCAUUGGGUUUAAAGGGUCCGUAGGCGGUUUAGUAAGUCAGUGGUGAAAGCCCAUCGCUCAACGGUGGAACGGCCAUUGAUACUGCUAGACUUGAAUUAUUAGGAAGUAACUAGAAUAUGUAGUGUAGCGGUGAAAUGCUUAGAGAUUACAUGGAAUACCAAUUGCGAAGGCAGGUUACUACUAAUGGAUUGACGCUGAUGGACGAAAGCGUGGGUAGCGAACAGGAUUAGAUACCCUGGUAGUCCACGCCGUAAACGAUGGAUACUAGCUGUUGGAGGUAACUUCAGUGGCUAAGCGAAAGUGAUAAGUAUCCCACCUGGGGAGUACGUUCGCAAGAAUGAAACUCAAAGGAAUUGACGGG